AUUGAACGCUGGCGGCAUGCCUUACACAUGCAAGUCGAACGGCAGCACGGAUGCUUGCACCUGGUGGCGAGUGGCGAACGGGUGAGUAAUACAUCGGAACGUACCUUAUCGUGGGGGAUAACGCAGCGAAAGCUGUGCUAAUACCGCAUACGCCCUGAGGGGGAAAGCGGGGGAUCGAAAGACCUCGCGCGAUUAGAGCGGCCGAUGCCUGAUUAGCUUGUUGGUGGGGUAAAAGCCCACCAAGGCGACGAUCAGUAGCUGGUCUGAGAGGACUAUCAGCCACACUGGGACUGAGACACGGCCGAGACUCCUACGGGAGGCAGCAGUGGGGAAUUUUGGACAAUGGGGGCAACCCUGAUCCAGCAAUGCCGCGUGAGUGAAGAAGGCCUUCGGGUUGUAAAGCUCUUUUGUCAGGGAAGAAACACCGGCUCUAACACAGUCCGGGAAUGACGGUACCUGAAGAAUAAGCACCGGCUAACUACGUGCCAGCCGCCGCCGUAA
rnacentral:rRNA from 1 species